GACAGAGGGUGCAAACGUUGUUCGGAAUUACUGGGCGUAAAGCGCGUGUAGGCGGCUAAGUAAGUCGGGCGUGAAAUCCCAUGGCUCAACCGUGGAAGUGCACUCGAAACUGCAUAGCUAGAGUCCUGGAGAGGAAGGUGGAAUGCUUGGUGUAGAGGUGAAAUUCGUAGAUAUCAAGCGGAACACCGGUGGCGAAGGCGGCCUUCUGGACAGUGACUGACGCUGAGACGCGAAAGCGUGGGGAGCAAACAGG
rnacentral:rRNA from 1 species